rnacentral:rRNA from 1 species
ACCCAUGUGACGUUACCAAACUGUUGCCUCGGCGGGAUCUCUGCCCCGGGUGCGUCGCAGCCCCGGACCAAGGCGCCCGCCGGAGGACCAACCAAAACUCUUUUUGUAUACCCCCUCGCGGGUUUUUUAUAAUCUGAGCCUUCUCGGCGCCUCUCGUAGGCGUUUCGAAAAUGAAUCAAAACUUUCAACAACGGAUCUCUUGGUUCUGGCAUCGAUGAAGAACGCAGCGAAAUGCGAUAAGUAAUGUGAAUUGCAGAAUUCAGUGAAUCAUCGAAUCUUUGAACGCACAUUGCGCCCGCCAGUAUUCUGGCGGGCAUGCCUGUCCGAGCGUCAUUUCAACCCUCGAACCCCUCCGGGGGGUCGGCGUUGGGGAUCGGCCCUCCCUUAGCGGGUGGCCGUCUCCGAAAUACAGUGGCGGUCUCGCCGCAGCCUCUCCUGCGCAGUAGUUUGCACACUCGCAUCGGGAGCGCGGCGCGUCCACAGCCGUUAAACACCCAACUUCUGAAAUGUUGACCUCGGAUCAGGUAGGAAUACCCGCUGAACUUAAGCAUAUCAAUAAGCCGGAGGAAACUGCCUGAAAAACGGCUGCGCUAGAGUGGGGGAGAGGACGGUGGAAGUCCCAGGGGAACAUUUCCCCUGCUGCGAUAGCGAAAGAAGAGCCGUGGGAGGACACCACACCCUGUAUUGAUACUCCCCGGUCUGUUGCUAAAGCCUGAGGCUUCACAGCGCACUAGAGAGCCCUGGCAAACAUACCGAAAACUACUUACACCUUCACCUUUGAGUCCCUGGACACUUAUAGUGGAACACCGUCAGACAUUUAGUGGACCAUGGGGGGGAGUACAAACUCCAGUGGCAAACUCAGAUCAAUUGGCCUGGGACCCGCACCAGCGGGGGUAUUAGGGGGGUAUAAGUCCAAGAAACGCAAUUCAC